rnacentral:lncRNA from 1 species
AAGCCCCGCAAAGCAGGAAUAGGGGGUUUGAACAAUGCCAGACACAACCCACAACAACCGAUGGCAAUAGGCAAUUUACUGAGCUUCGCCCCAUGCGCAUGGCACCUUGCAGCGCUACUUGCAUGAUGCUUUGCCGUUCCAUUGAAAAAAUCCAUCAGCCGCCACGGGCGAUGUCGCCUUUCGAUGUUUCCCCUAACAAGUAAUGGAAAUCGGCAACAUACUAAGCUUCGCCCCUUGCGCACGGCACCUUGCGGUGCUACUUGCACUAUACUUUGCCAUUUGUUGUCAAAGGCCAUCAUCCGCCACGAGCGAUGUCGCCUUCCGAUGUUGCCCGCAACAACCGAUGGCAAUCGGCAACUUACUAAGCUUUGCCACGUGUGCACAGCACCUUGUGAUGCUACUUGCCCGAUGCUUUGCCAUAUUGUUGCCGAAAACAAUCAGCCGCCACGAGCGAUGUCGCCUCCCGAUGUUUCCUGCGACAACCGAUAGCAAUCAACAACUUACUAAGCUUCGCCCCGUGCGCAUGGCACCUUGCGGCGCUACUUGCGCGAUGCUUUGUGAUUUUUUUGCCAAAAACCAUCAGCCGCCACGAGCAAUGUCGCCUCCCGAUGUUGCCCGCAACAACCGAUGGCAAUCACCACCUUACUAAGCUUCGCCCCGUGCGCAUGGAACCUUGUAGCACUAGUUGCAAGAUGCUUUACCAUUUUGUUCCCAAAAGCCAUCAGCCGCCACGAGCGAUGUCACCUCCCGUUGUUUCCCGUAACAACCGAUGGCAAUGAACAUCUACUGAGCUUUGCCCCAUGCGCACGGCACCUUGCGGCGCUACUUGCAAGAUGCUCCGCCGUUCAUUAUCAAAAGCAAUAAGCCGCCACGGAGGGGGAUUGGGCCUCCACUAGAUUGCCCCAUGCGCACGGCGCCUUGCGGCGCUACUUGCAAGAUGCUCCGCCGUUCAUUAUCAAAAGCAAUAAGCCGCCACGGAGGGGGAUUUACAGACACAACCCAGAAAAAUUGAUGGCAAUAGGCAACUUACUAAGCCUCGCCCCAUACGCACGGCACCUUGCGGCGAUACUUGCUCGACGCUCUGCCGUUCCAUUGCCGAAAGCCAUCAACCGCCAUGAGCGAUGUCACCCACAACAACCGAUGGCAAUCGACAUCUACUGAGCUUCGCCCCAUGCGCAUGCACCUUGCGACGCUACUUCCACGACGCUCCACAGUUCGUUGUCGAAAGCCAUCAACUGCCAUGAGAGAUUCCAGACACAACCCACAACAACCAAUGGCAAUCAACAAAUUUUUAAGCUUUGCCCCAUGUGCACAGCACCUUGCGGCACUACUUGCACGAUGUUUUGCCAUUCUGUUGUCAAAAGACAUUAGCCGGCAUGAGCGAUGUCGCCUCCCGAUUUUGCUCGCAAUAUCCAAUGGAGAUCAAAAGUACUGAGCUUCGCCCCGUGCGCACAGCACCUUGCGGUGCUACUUGCAUGACGCUCUACCGUUCGUUGCAAAAGACAAUGUUUUCCAUGAGCGGUGCAACCACCAGGCGUACUAAAAGCCCGCACGAGUACUUGCCGGUGCGUUUUGGGAACAUCGAGGACGUAGCACGGACAAGUCGUGCAUGCCCCCAAUGCCCACGCCCCAUGCCAGCGUCCCCCAUGCAUGCCCGCCCCUUCCUGGCUGCAAGCACCUGAGGUGCCUCUCAACACCUCUACCCCCCUUAAAUAUACUUAAAAAAAAAAAACCCAAAUUUCAGGAGUAGACAUGUGUCCCGCCUGACCUGGGGUCGCCCCACGCCCCAUGCCUGCGUCCCCCAUGCUUUCCCGCCCCUUCCUGGCAGCAAGCACCAGAGGUGCCUCACAACACCUCUACCCCCCUUAUUUAUGCUUAAGAAAAAAUUACCCAAGUUUCAGGAGUAGACAUGUUUUGGCUAGAGAAUCAUAAUAGACAUGUAAAACACCAAAUAGCACAAACCAAAGUACAACUUGGCUAAUAUAUUCACAAAUGACUUUUAAACAUUGUAAAUGAUAUUUUUUACAAAAAAAAUGUUUUUUUAAAUAUUUUUAUUUAAAAACGAAAAAUACUUAAUAAAAUACUAAAAAAUAUGAAAAUUAUUAUAAAAAUAGAAACAAUGAUGAAGAAAAAUUCCAAUUCAUCUUGUAAUAGUAUUACAUAUAAAAGAGUAAAUAUUUUUAUGGAAAAGUGACAUAAAAAUAAUUUAAAAUAAAAAAAUGCAUAAAAAUUACUUUAAAAUAUAUUAAAAAAGGAAAAAUGCAUAACAUUAUUAUAAAAGCGUAUAGAUGACCAACCGCCAAUAAGCACGAGGCACCUCCAUUGUCGCAAAUACGUAAAAUACAUAAUAUUAUUACAAAAGCGUAUAUAUGACAAACCGCGAAUAAGCACGAGGCACCUCCAUUGUCGCAACCACAACAAGGGAUUCCGAUUUGAAAAAACUGCUGCCAAACACAAAGCGUCGACCAACCGUCGCCGGUGGAUACCGCUCGAACCACCGCGAUAUUCCACCACCGCCACAAAUGACCACCAACAUCAUUGCUCUUGACAUGUUUCUAAGCAUUGGCUAGCAAUAGACGUGGUGCGGCUUGGAGCGACGUGGUGCCGCUUGGUGCGAUGUCGUGCCAUGGCCAUGUCCUAACACGUCCAUACACGUACCAAGGCCACAUCAUGCCAUGUCCUGCGACGUCCUGACUCGUGCCAUGGACAUGUCGUGACGCGUCCUGUGAUGUCCUUACUCGUGCCAUUGCCACGCCCUGCCAUGUCCUUUGACGUCCCGACUCGUGUCAUGGCCACGCCCUGCCAUGUCCUGACGCGUCCUCACACGUGCCAUGGCCAUGUCCUGACGUGUUCUCUGAUGUCCUGACUCGUGCCAUGGCCACGCCCUGCCAUGUCUUGUGACGUCCCGACUCGUGCCAUGGCCAUGUCCUGACGCGUCCUUAAACGUACCAUGGCCAUGUCCUGACGCGUCGUGCGACGUCCCGACUCGUGCCAUGGCCAUGUCCUGCGUAGUCAUGAGUUAUGCCAUGGCCACGCCAUGCCAUAUACUGACGCAUCCUGACACGUUCCACUGCCAUGUCCUGACGCGUCCUGACACAUGCCAUGGCCAUGUCCUGACGCAUCCUGCGACGUCCUGACUCGUGCCAUGGCCACGCCGUGCAAUGUCGUGCGAUGUCCUGACUCGUGCCAUGGCCAUGCCCUGCCAUGUCCUGACAAGUCCUAACACGUGCCAUGGCCAUGUCUUGACGCGUCCUGACACGUCCUGAUUCGUACUAUGGCCACGCCCUGCCAUGUCCUGCGGCGUCCCGACUCGUGCCAUGGCCACGCCCUGCCAUGUNNNNNNNNNNNNNNNNNNNNNNNNNNNNNNNNNNNNNNNNNNNNNNNNNNNNNNNNNNNNNNNNNNNNNNNNNNNNNNNNNNNNNNNNNNNNNNNNNNNNNNNNNNNNNNNNNNNNNNNNNNNNNNNNNNNNNNNNNNNNNNNNNNNNNNNNNNNNNNNNNNNNNAACGUGUCCUGACACAUGCCAUGGCCAUAUCCUGAUGCGUCCUGACAUGUACCAUGGCUAUGUCCUAACGCGUCCUGCGACGUCCUUACUCGUGCCAUGGCUACGCCUGCCGUGUCCUAAUACGUGCCAUUUCCAUGUCCUCACGCAUCCUUACACGUUUUAUGGCCAUGUCCUGACGCGUUCUGCAAUGUCCUGACUCGUUCCAUGGCCACGCCCUCCCAUGUCCUUCCAUGUACUGACUCAUGCCAUGGCCACACCCUUCCAUGUCCUGCGAUGUAGUGAUUAGUGUCAUGGCCACUCCCUGACGCGUGCCAUGGCCAUGUCUUGACGCGUGCUGACACGUCCUGACUCGUGUCAUGGCCACUCCCUGCCAUGUCCUGGGGUGUCCUAACUCAUGCCAUGGCCACGUCUUGCGCUCGUGGAAUAGGCCUUGCACUCUCAAGCGACACUCCAAAAAAACCCUUGGCAUAGGCCUCGACCUAUCAAGCGACACCCCGAAAAAGCCUCUAGUAGUGUAAUUUGGUUUGGUAUUUCCCUCGAUGUGACUAAAUGUCAAGUCAUAUUGUCCACUUAAUGCAAAAAUAGUAUUCAAGUCGUAGAUUAGAGGGGGGGACGAAUCAGAGCGACAAAAGUCUGAAUCUCAGUGGAUCGUGGCAGCAAGGCCACUCUGCAACUUACAAUACCCUGUCGCGGAUUUAUGUCAUCUGCAAAGGAUUCUACCCGCCGCUCGAUGGAAAUUGUACUUCAAGGUGGCCACUGCGGCUCUUUUGCCGCGAUGUUUUAGCCAACGAAAUGCGCCAUUGGGGGCCAAAGGCCCCUACUACGGUUCGGCAAGCGGACGACGGGCGCAUGCGUCGCUUCUAGCCGAAAUUCUGACUUAGAGGCGUUCACUCAUAAUCCACCGCCCGGUAGCUUCGCGCCACUGGUUUUUCAACCAAUCGCGAUGACGAAUUUUGCGAAUCAAUGGUUCCUAUCAUACUAGGUUGAAUUACUAUUGCGACACUGUCAUCAGUAGGGUAAAACUAACCUGUCUCACGAUGGUCUAAACCCAGCUCACGUUCCCUUUUGGUGGGUGAACGAUCCUGCUUCACAAUGAUAGGAAGAGUCGACAUCGAAGGAUCAAAAAGCAACGUCACUAUGAACGCUUGGCUACCACAAGCCAAUUAUCUUUCAAAAGAUGUGCCGCCCCAACCAAACUCCCACCUAACAAUGUCUUCCGCCAGGAUUGGCCUGCAAGCAAGCCUUGGGUUCAAAAGGAGGGGCAAGUCCCCGUUUGCGAUUCGCGGAAUAAGUAAAAUAACUUUAAAAGUAGUGGUAUUUCACUUUAGCCCUUCGGCUCCCACUUAUACUACACCUAUCAAGUUAUUUCCUAACGUUGCCGUCAACCGCCACGUCCCGGUUCAGGAAUUUUAACUCGAUUCCCUUUCGGAGUACGUGCAAAAAGCGCUAUCGGUCGGGGUUCCCCCGACCCUUAGGAUCGACUAACCCAUGUGCAAGUGCCGUUAACAUGGAACCUUUCCCUCCUUCAGACUUCAAAGUUCUCAUUUGAAUAUUUGCUAUUACCACCAAGAUCUGCACCGACGACCGCUCCGCCCAGGCUCACGCCCAAGGUUUUGCAGCGACCGCAGUACGCGCGAAACGCCUUAUCUGUCGGGGUUCCCCCGACCCUUAGGAUCGACUAACACAUGUGCAACUGCCGUUCACAUGGAACCUUUCCCCUCUUCGGCCUUUAAAGUUAUCAUUUGAAUAUUUUCCACUACCACCAAGAUCUGCACCGAAGGUCGCUCAGCCCAGGCUCACGCCCAAGGUUUUGCAGCGAAUAACGCGCCUUCCUGCUCAUCGGGGCCUGGCACUUGCCCCGAUGGCCGGGUGUAGGUCGUGCGCUUAAGCGCCAUCCAUUUUCGGGGCUAGUUGAUUCGGCAGGUGAGUUGUUACACACUCCUUAGCGGAUUUCGACUUCCAUGACCACCGUCCGGUUGUCUUAAUCGACCAACACCCUUUGUGGGAUCUAGGUUAGCGCGCAGUAUGGCACCGUAACCUGGAUUCUGGUUCAUCUCGCAUCGCUAGUUCUACUUACCAAAAAUGGCCCACUUGGAGCUCUUCAUUUCGUGGCGCGGCUCAACAAAGCAGUCGCGCCGUCCUACCUAUUUAAAUACGACCGUCCUGCUAUCUUAAUCACCCUUCGUGGGAUCUAGGUUAGCGCGCAGUUUGGCACCGUACCCGGCUUCCGGUUCAUCCCACAUCGCCAGUUCUGUUAAACAAAAAUGGCCCACUUGGAGCUCUUGAUUCUGUGGCGCGGCUCUACAUAGUAGUCGCGCCGUCCUACAUAUUUAACAUUUGAUAAUAGGUCGAGGGCGAUGCGCCCCCGAUGCCUCUAAUCAUUGGCUUUACCCGAUAGAACUCGCACAUGAGCUCCAGCUAUCCUGAGGGAAACCUCGGAGAGAACCAGCUACUAGACGGUUCGAUUAGUCUUUCGCCCCAUAUAACCAAUUCAGACGAAUGAUUAUUGCAUCAGUAUCGAUGGGGCCUCGACCGGAUUUUCCUUAGGCUUCGCCUCUUUCAGACAUAGUUCACCAUAUUUUGGGUCCCGACAGGUAUGCUCACACUCAAACCCUUCACAGAAGAUCAAGGUUGGUCGGCGGUGCACCCUUCAGGGGGAUCCCACCAAUCAGCUUCCAUACACCUUACGGGUUUACUCAUCCGUUGAUUUGCACACAUGUCAGACUCCUUGGUCCGUGUUUCAAGAUGGGUCGAAUAGGGAGCCCACAGGACAGCGUCCGGAGCACGCAAAUGCCGAAGCACGCUAGAGGCACGCGCUGCCUACCACAAUCAAAGAGACGACGUUCCACCAGCGUAUCAAAAGCCCGGGCUUUGGCCGCCCCCAAAUCCACGCUGGUCCUCGCCCUAAAUCGAUCGACAGACCGGCUCAAUACCGUUCCACAUCCGACCAGGGCGUACCGUCGGCCCCCAUCCGCUUCCCUCCUGACAAUUUCAAGCACUGUUUGACUUUCUUUUUAAAGUCCUUUUCAUUUUUCCUUCGCGGUACUUGUUCGCUAUCGGUCUCUCGCCCGUAUUUAUCCUUGGACAGAAUUCACAGCCCGAUUGGAUGCAUUCCCAAACAACCCGACUCGUAGACAGCGGCUUGUGGUGCGACAGGGUCCGUGCAUAACGGGGCUCUCACCCUCUCUUACGCCCCCUUCCAGGGGACUUCGGCCCGAUCCGCCACUGAGGACGUUUCUCAGGACUACAAUUUGGAUGACGGAGCCGCCCGAUUCUAAAGCUAGGUUAUUCCGGGUUCGCUCGCCAUUACUAGGGGAAUCCUUGUAAGUUUCUUUUCCUCCACUUAUUGAUAUGCUUAAACUCAGCGGGUUGUCCCACCUGACCUGGGGUCGCGGUAAGACCACCUAAGCGCGAUAAGGGUCGGGGAGCCCAAACAUGCGACGGGUUGGAGCCGCGACAUUACGAAAGUUGAGUUUCAACCACCACUUGUCGUGACGUCCGUCGCUGUGGACUCGCAUUUAGGCAAACCGCACGCUCGAGGAGCACGGGAGGCCAGUAUCCAUCCCACGACAGCACCGCAACCAUGAGAAUGGGCACGGUGUGCGGGGGCUCCCCUGACCUGGUGUCGCGGUCGGAGCGCCUAAGCGCGAUGACGGGAACCCAACAUGCGACGAGUUUGAGCCACGACAUUACGAGAGUUGAGUUUCAACCACCGCUUGUCGUGAUGUCCGUCGUUGUGGACUCGCAUUUAUGCCAACCCCACGCUCGAGGCGCACGGGAGGCUAGUAUCCGUUCCACGGCAGCACCGCGACCAUGAGAAUGGGCGCGGUGUGCACGGGCGACGCGAUUCGUGACGCCCAGGAAGACGUUCCCUCGGCCUAAUGGCUUCGGUCGCAACUUGCGUUCAAACACUCGAUGGUUCACGGGAUUCUGCAAUUCACACCAUGUAUCGCAUUUCACUAUGUUCUUCACUGGUGCGAGAGCCGAGAUAUUUGUUGCCGAGAGUCGUUUGUGUUUCAAAAGAGGCACAAGUACCCCGCGCACGCCGCGAACGGGGCGCGAGGGGCAAGCUUUCAAUUUAGUAUUGCUUGGCGCUUUCCGCACCGGGGUUUGUUAAUCACCUGGCACGCACGCAAGCACGUGCGUCGUAGAUAUAGGAGGAAGCAGCUCGAACGGAGGCCAAAGCAUCCCGGUCGCACCGCUCCCCAGUAUUUAAUCAUGUUCGCGGGUCAUUCUGCUUUGCAGGUUUCGACAAUGAUCCUUCCGCAGGUUCACCUACGGAAACCUUGUUACGAAUUCUCCUUUCUCUAAAUGAUAAGGUUCAAUGGACUUCUCGCGAUGUUGCGGAGAGCGGACCGCCCAUGUCGCCGCGAUCCGAAUAUUUCAUCGGAUCGUUCAAUCGGUAGGAGAGACGGGCGGUUUGUACAAAGGGCAGGGACAUAGUCAAUGCGAGCUGAUGACUCGCGCUUACUAGGAAUUCCUUGUUGAAGACCAACAAUUACAAUGAUCUAUCCCCAUCACGAUGAAAUUUCAAAGAUUACCCGGGCCUGUCGGCCAAGGCUAUAAACUCGUUGAAUACAUCAGUGUAGCGCGCCUUGUUGAAGACCAACAAUUACAAUGAUCUAUCCCCAUCACGAUGAAAUUUCAAAGAUUACCCGGGCCUGUUGGCCAAGGCUAUUAACUUGUUGAAUACAUCAGUGUAGUCCACGUGCGCCCCAGAACAUCUAAGGGCAUCACAUACUUGUUAUUGCCUCAAAUAUCCGCAGCCUAAAAGGCCGUAGCCCCUCUAAGAAGCUGGCCGCGAAGGGAUACCUCCGCAUAGCUAGUUAGCAUGCUGAAGUCUCGUUCGUUAACAGAAUUAACCA